GUGCGUCGGACAGAUACUGUACUCACACAGAAACGUAAAACGAAGACAUAUAUCAUAAAUUGUCACAGACAACUGGUCGUCGAGAGCGUCCCGGCUGCUCAUGUUUGCAUCAUUUGAUCUACAGCUGGCUUUCGUUGGGAAAGGAAUGAUUGCUGUAGCAGAAGGAAACGUGUGGGAAUGGAUUGAGUGUACACAGAUAACUGGUGUAAAGUCAGGAAACUUUUCUGGAAGUAUUUCUUUUUGUUGACUGCUAAGAAUUUACGCAUUUGUAAUGGAUUAUUAGCAUGAAUUAUGUCAUUGGUUUUCUUACAAGACAUGGACAAGUUUUUCGCCUUGUUUGCGGAGCUCUCUUAUCUCAAACCUUUUGGUGCUGUCAAUCUCUGUUUCUUCUCGCUGUGUUAAUUUAUCAUUGUUACUGUCUGGUUUUAAACUUGUCUGUUUUGCUGCUUUAGUCUGUUUAAAGGCAUAAGAGUGCGCAAUUUGUUGGACUAGAAAAAUUGGAUAGUAUAUUGGAAGCCCGAUGUGCGUACAAGUUCAAUACUACUUUCCUUGUGACUUGGGUUGUGACAUGGGGCUGUUGUUACAUUUUGGAUAACUUGUCUGUCAGGAACAGUUGCUGAUGAUAUUGCAUUCUUUGUUGUCGUGAUUGUUCAAGUCGUCUCAGAUGAUCAGCUUUUGCUCCUACUCUCUUACUAUGUGGUAGAAGCAAUAAGCCUUCUGUUGACUGGGGAAUUUUCUGCCUCAUUGCCUCAGCAGAUUUACAAAUAUCUGCUGCUACGGUUUGUCGCAAUGCUGGACAUUGGCAAAGUUUUGAAGUUCUUUCCUAUCACAAAGACAUAUGAAUGUUUUGGGUCUGGCUAUAGUGACAUAGUUCGGAUCCACGCUCCUGUAAUCACUGCCUGCGCUAAGCAAGCUAUUACAGUUGCUGCGUUUGUCUCAUUCAUCUACUCACAUAUUGUACUCACUCAGAACGUUGCUGCUGAAGGAAUCACCAACUAAUGAAUCAUUCGGUGAUGCUAACUCUGUUUCUCAUGUCAUGGAGUAUGCAGUGAAUUUACGGUACUUUAGAUGUAGUUAAACAUUUCAACUGUUUAGCUGUCUUGCUUCUUAUCAGAUUUCUGGUGGUAUCAUUAGUGGUUUGUAUCAUGUACAUGAAUUAAUUAGUUCUUAUUAAAUUAUUCAAUAACUGUUUUCUAUGUUUUCAUUACAUCAUUAUGUGUGAUGUAGAUGCUGACCACUCUCUGUGUCCAGUGGAAAAAUAACGACUGCUGUUGCACGUACAAGAUGAAGAUCAUCUGUUACAAGUCAGAAAUUCAGACUUGAUUCACUGUGUUUGAACUUUUAGUUCAAACAUAACAGCAAAAAAUUGUAUUAAACUUGCACUUCAGGUAGAUUGUUCAUG